rnacentral:lncRNA from 1 species
AAAAGAAUUACACUAUAAGGGACGCAUUGUGCUUAUGAUAAAUUCUACUUGCAUCUUCACGAGCAGAUUUUGGACAAAGUUAUUCCAUAUGCAGGGUACUAAAUUGAAAAGGAGUAUGGCAUAUCACCCACAAACCGACAGCCAGACGGAAGUUGUAAAUAGGUGCUUGGAGACAGCCCAAAGCCACCCACCAAAUAUGACUAC